rnacentral:rRNA from 1 species
GACGAACGCUGGCGGCGUGCUUAACACAUGCAAGUCGAACGGAAAGGCCCUGCUUUUGUGGGGUGCUCGAGUGGCGAACGGGUGAGUAACACGUGAGUAACCUGCCCUUGACUUUGGGAUAACUUCAGGAAACUGGGGCUAAUACCGGAUAGGAGCUCCUGCUGCAUGGUGGGGGUUGGAAAGUUUCGGCGGUUGGGGAUGGACUCGCGGCUUAUCAGCUUGUUGGUGGGGUAGUGGCUUACCAAGGCUUUGACGGGUAGCCGGCCUGAGAGGGUGACCGGCCACAUUGGGACUGAGGUACGGCCCAGACUCCUACGGGAGGCAGGAGUGGGGAAUAUUGCACGAUGGGCGGAAGCCUGAUGCAGCAACGCCGCGUGCGGGAUGACGGCCUUCGGUUUGUAAGCCGCUUUCGCCUGUGACGAAGCGUGAGUGAGGGUAAUGGGUAAAGAAGCACCGGCUAACUACGUG